AUACGGAGGGUGCGAGCGUUAAUCGGAAUUACUGGGCGUAAAGGGUCCGUAGGCGGUCUGCUUAGUCUGAUGUAAAAGCCCCGGGCUUAACCUGGGAAUGGCAUUGGAUACUGGCGGACUAGAGUCUGGGAGAGGGUGGUGGAAUCCCCGGUGUAGCGGUGAAAUGCGUAGAUAUCGGGAGGAACACCAGUGGCGAAGGCGGCCACCUGGACCAAGACUGACGCUGAGGGACGAAAGCGUGGGGAGCAAACAGGAGUAGAAACCCUAGUAGUCC
rnacentral:rRNA from 1 species